ACCCACUUGUGGGUAAGAUGAGUUUCUGAAGAAAUCCCAGUUGUAGUUUGGUGAAAUUUCAGCUUCCGAGUGACCUGCCCCAACCUGAGGACCCACCUGGUAGCACAAGCAUAGGGCUGGAACAAACCUCUGAGCUCCAAGUCCUCCCUGACCACUGUGAACAUCCCCCACCCCAAUACUGUCGUUGAUCAGCAUCUCAAGCACCCUGGAAGAGGGGCCAGCCAAGUGCAGACCAAACUGCCUGAAAGAUCAACAGAGGAAGCCAUGCCAGAGAGGCCAAGGCUCAAUCCUGGACAAUACCAGUGGCUGAUCAUCUUGCAGUUGGCAAGGGUCCUGUCCUCCCCUGGGGCUCGGUCACCCACAGUGAAGCUCCAGGCUGCUGGCACUCAGAGGGGCUCCCCCCCUGGGAGUCU